UCCUUUAAGUCCGUCCGGUGAGGCGGGGAAGGA
rnacentral:sRNA from 1 species